rnacentral:pre_miRNA from 1 species
CUCUCUGAGCCCCUGCUUCUCAUCUGGACCCUGCUGGGGAGGGCUUCUGAGCUCCUUGGUGCUGGCAGCAGGGGCUCCAGGGGCCCUCCCUCCAUGGCAGCCAAGACAGGACAGGACUCUCAGACGAG